AGGGCUUGCCGAAUGGUGACCAUGUCUAAGGUCCGGGCUUCAGUGACUUGUUUGUUAGCGUCUUUCAAAUUUUCGCGUCUAAGUAGACCUGUACCCUAUGUGGUGAUGUUGAAAUAUGUUUCAAUUGUGUAGGAGGCCAAAGCGUGCUCACAGUGCUCGGGCCGAAACCUGUACUGCGGCUGCGAAACAGUUUCAGAUUUUUAGCUUUCCUGCGAGACCUCGCGAAGCCUCCGGUAACUGUCGAAAACCUCGAAAUGCUGCAUAGACAAUAUGUUAUGUCUAUGAAUGGCAAAAGCCAUAAAUGGGCCUUAUACGCCUCAGACAGCUUUCAGGUCACCCGACUGUCACCUAUCCGAAGGUCGCACAGGCCUAGAAUUGUAUCCUUUGUGACCUAUAUGUCUUUUGCUUGCAUGGUUUGGAACUUGUAUUCGUGGGAGGGGGCUAUAAAGGUAUAGGAAAGUGUCACGGCUUCUUGCAGGCGUGGUCUGGCAGUCCGUGCGUGACAAGGUGCGAGAGGUGGCGCUGCUGCAUGGUAUCAUGGUUGAUUUUGCGAAUUGCAUCACAUACAGCUUCACUGUUAAGCAGAAGCCACGAUAAGGUUUACCUAGGUGGUUUUACCCAGCUUCCGUGCAAUGCACUUUUGGGGGCCAGUACUUGUUGCAACUGGUUCACAGGAAACACUUUCCUAGUUUCUUUCUAGCAUUUUCCCCGCCCUGGAAUAGCUCGCUUGGCACACUUUCGUGUGGCUUCCAGAGAUGCAUAUAAAAUGGAUGCACCUUCCGGUUUCCGAAGCUCCUCCACACUGAUAAUCAGGUUUCAUCGGCUUCACCAUCGAAUCCGUUUCGAUGUCAGCUGCAGCGCCAGCUGGCGCCUCUGUCGUUUCUGGCAGGUCAUCUUACAUGCUCCUUUCGAAGCAUGUCAGCCCCGGAUGUCUGAUGGUUGCGGUCUUGGGGGCGGUGGCAGCGGCGGCAGUGGAACAAUGAACUAAGCAGCGACGGGGGCGAUGUGUCCUCAAGGCGGUCAAGGGUGGUGGAUACAAAUGAGUGCUGUGCGGGCAAAUACGGAUCGUGGGUGUGGCAGGCCCUAUACAUUCACAUUUUCUUUUAAAUCAACCUUUGCUUUCGUUUGCCUUUAUUUUCCGUUUUCAUUUUUCUGUACGGAUAUCCUCAAGGAUACAAACACACGCAUAGACAUGCGGCCCCUAUUCUCCCAUAUUGCACCCGUACCCGGCUCUCCCUCCGCCGAUUUGGUUGCUUUCUACGCCCCAUGGUUCCCCCUCUUGGCGCCAUUCGGACGCCUGGCUUCAGGUCGCAGCCAUACUGCUGGACGGCCAUAGCCUGGAGUUAUACCGUUGGCCAGCUGGCGAUGUGAACGAGCUCUUGGAGCGAGUUCGCAACACCAUCAACAUAAUGGCAGAGGGCUGGAGCCAUGCAUGAUGCGAGGGUGCACUGCCCGGACGAGAUGGAGGCGAGCUUCAAGUAUUCGGGAGUGCUGUUGUGCUGCAUCACCGCGACCGAGUGAACGGGGGGAAAGGAGGGAGGAAGAGAGGAAGGGAAAAGGGGGAAAUGCUUAGGGGUGGAGUUUGGUGAGAGGUGAGAGCUGGGGAGUGCUGUGAGCGGUGUAUGGCGCUGCGUACCCCUAGAUGCUUGAGCUAGAUAUGUUUUGUGUCCUUGUGCUGGACCCUCCUGCUGUUGAAGUCAUAUAUGAGAGGCCUCCGGCCGAAACCCCCUCAGCAGGACAUGUAAAAUAGAACUAUUGGACACAUAUACAUGUGCCCACUGUACAUUUAAGGGUCGUACGUGAGUACAGGGUUUGGGGAGGUGUGACCGCUUGUGCUGAUGAGAGGUGUACUGUUGAGGUGGUGGUGGUGGUGGUUCUGUGCUGAUGGGAUGGUUUUUGCCUUCGAUGUGUUGGACAGUGACCGACACUCCAUACACCAGAGAAUGUUGACAGCAUAAUUAGGGCCGGGGGGGAAUUCUGGCGCUUUGAUGUGUUUACCAGGUUAUGAGCUCCAAUAGUGCUGGGCGCUGCACCGUAAGAUCAUUGGUUCACUUCCCACUGGCUGUUGCCCAGAAUUCGGGAAGCCUGGAUGAGGCAAAAUUCAUCCAGACCUCAUCCAGGCAUUAUUGCUCAGUCCUGCCGUGCUGUAUUACAGUAGCUAAGUCUCCAGCCGAUAGUUUGGUUGGUAGUACACAUCCCACUUGUGAAACCCCCUCCCAACACCAACCCAUGCGAAAGUUGUACUAGUCUCACAAGCCGCUUAGCGAGAGGCAGAAGUGGAAGCCAUCAUUGAGCCAUCUUAGGUGGCGACAGGAUACUAAGCCGACGAGUUCCACUUAUGGUGAGGCCAUCGUGUGAACAUAGAUGGUGUCACUUUCUGUGUAUUUUUAGAGACUCGAGCCCAUGGACGUUUUUCCAUCUCCACUCCCCUUUUCCAUCCAUCACACCUUCACUCGCACAUUCGCACGUCCACCGUGAUGGCGCCAACACAAGCACCAAAAGAAGCGAGCAGUGUUUGAGAUUUCCCGUUAUCGUGACUAUGCUGCUCUGUUCACUGAGGGAUCUCAGGUCAUGCACGCACUAAAUGGGGUGAUC
rnacentral:lncRNA from 1 species